UUUGAUCUUGGUCAGAAGAACGCUGGCGGCGCGUCUUAAGCAUGCAAGUCGAACGGCAAGAGGUAGCAAUACCUCCUAGAGUGGCGGACUGGUGAGUAACACGUGGGUGACAUACCCUUCAGAUGGGGAUAGCUAUUAGAAAUAGUAGAUAAUACCGAAUACGAGCACAGGGGUUAGAGAUCUGUGAGGAAAGGAGCUAAGGCUCCGCUGAAGGAAUGGCCUGCGGCCCAUUAGCUAGUUGGUGAGGUAAGAGCCCACCAAGGCGAUGAUGGGUAUCCGGCCUUAGAGGGUGAACGGACACAUUGGGACUGAGAUACGGCCCAGACUCCUACGGGAGGCAGCAGCUAAGAAUAUUCCGCAAUGGACGAAAGUCUGACGGAGCGACGCCGCGUGGAUGAAGAAGGCCGGAAGGUUGUAAAAUCCUUUUGAAACUGAAGAAUAAGCGUUGUAGGGAAUGACAGCGUGGUGACAGUAGGUUUUGAAUAAGCAACGGCUAAUUACGUGCCAGCCGCUGC
rnacentral:rRNA from 1 species